GACGAACGCUGGCGGCGUGCUUAACACAUGCAAGUCGAACGGAAAGGCCCUGCUUUUGUGGGGUGCUCGAGUGGCGAACGGGUGAGUAACACGUGAGUAACCUGCCCUUGACUUUGGGAUAACUUCAGGAAACUGGGGCUAAUACCGGAUAGGAGCUCCUGCUGCAUGGUGGGGGUUGGAAAGUUUCGGCGGUUGGGGAUGGACUCGCGGCUUAUCAGCUUGUUGGUGGGGUAGUGGCUUACCAAGGCUUUGACGGGUAGCCGGCCUGAGAGGGUGACCGGCCACAUUGGGACUGAGAUACGGCCCAGACUCCUACGGGAGGCAGCAGUGGGGAAGAUUGCACAAUCGGCGGAAGCCGGAUGCAGCAACGCCGCGGGCGGGAUGACGGCCUUCGGGUUGUAAAACGCUUUCGCCUGUGACGAAGCGUGAGUGGCGGUAACGGGUAAAGAAGCACCGGCUAACUACGUGC
rnacentral:rRNA from 1 species